rnacentral:rRNA from 1 species
UAGGGAAUAUUGGACAAUGGGGGCAACCCUGAUCCAGCCAUGCCGCGUGAGUGAUGAAGGCCCUAGGGUUGUAAAGCUCUUUUGUGCGGGAAGAUAAUGACGGUACCGCAAGAAUAAGCCCCGGCUAACUUCGUGCCAGCAGCCGCGGUAUACGAAGGGGGCUAGCGUUGCUCGGAAUCACUGGGCGUAAAGGGUGCGUAGGCGGGUUUCUAAGUCAGAGGUGAAAGCCUGGAGCUCAACUCCAGAACUGCCUUUGAUACUGGAAGUCUUGAGUUCGGGAGAGGUGAGUGGAACUGCGAGUGUAGAGGUGAAAUUCGUAGAUAUUCGCAAGAACACCAGUGGCGAAGGCGGCUCACUGGCCCGAUACUGACGCUGAGGCACGAAAGCGUGGGGAGCAAACA